CGAGGGGUUGUUCCCUCAGCAACGGCAGAGCAGGAGGGGGUGGGGAGGAAGGAGUGGGGAAGGAGGCGCGGCGGCUCCAGAGUGCACGAGGAAAAUUCCGCGAGAGGCGGGCUCGGGGCGGAGCCCUUGGGAUCGCGCGCUGGCGUCAGGGCGGAGGCGAAGGGCGCUACAACGGGCUCUAGGCGCUUCUCCCGCCGUCGCCGCGCCCGUGCUCGCGCUGGUUCCGCUACAGCCACAGCGACUCGCCCUUCGCCCCGGCCAUGCACGCCGUCCACUGCCCGGCGGUGUUGCUGUGGCUGGACGUGCACCGCCGCGCCCGGCCCCUGCGGCGCCGCGACGCGGCGCGCGACCUGCUCCGCCGCCACCAGCACCGCCAGCCCCUCCUUCCCCUCGUCGACCUCCGCCACGCGGCGCGGCACCGGCGCCUCCGGUUGCUCCGGCCCCUCUGCGGCGAGGACCGGCGGCGGCUCUCCCCGGUGGAGCUCCACCACCACCUCGACGAGGCCGUAGACCUGAGGGUCCCGCAGCGGCGCUUCUUGUCCAGCCCCAUACUGCGCGACGUGCAGCGCCGGUCUCUUCCCGUAGUACGACAACACGUCCUUUACAAUGCAGUGCUAUCCUACAAACGGUUUUGUAAACCGGAACGUUUAUGAUGGGGCGAAUAGAGUCGUCGAUGUUCCCCUGUACGACUUCAACAGGUUAACAAUGAACUUGUUCUACUAAAACCUAACCCCCUUUACCGGUUUCUAUUACCGUUUUUACGAAAUGUGAAACGACGAGCUGUCCCUGUAUACCUUUAACAAUUUCGCAAUGAACUCUUUCUAGGUGUCGAUCGUUCUGCUUUACUGUUCUUUCCAGUUUGCCGUGACGUAUACCGACACUUUCCUUGAUUGACACUACAAGAAUCUCGUGAACACCUACGACUAGGUCGUUAACAUUACGACGGUCUGUUUUUACCUUUGUGACGGAACGUACAUCGUUGUUCCUUUUUCGCUCGUCUCUAUCAAUAACAAGAAAACGCCGAUGGUCUAUGGGUACAGUUACGUGACUUGUCUCUAGUGUUCUGACGAAAACUAUAUCGACUUCCCGACGGUGUAACACUCCUCAGCAGACUUUAAUUCCUAUAAAAUAGAGUUGUACCGCGAGAGUCUAGAUCUCUCGAUUUAGUCGGAGCUCUACUUGAGGCCUUCUGUCACUGUCUCUAGUUCUUUCUACAGGUGUGUGUCGAGCUUGUCUGUUCUUUUUGAUUGUUUUUACACGUACCGUAACGAUUCCUUGAGUCUUUCAACGUGUCUCUUCCAUAGUUAUUACGUUGUUUGAGACAUUGACAACAACGACACGAAAAACGAUGACAGCGAAAGCGUCGAUAUAAGUGACAUGGACCACCUUUACUCUUGUUACCUCAACGCUAACAACAGGUCUGACGAAGGAAAUCCUAUAAGAAGUAGAAAUUACGGUAUCGAGACAAGUGUAGUAACCGCCACCAGCACCAAGUUUAUUGUCAACAGUCCCCUCUUUGGUUCAGACUCGCUUUCCAACAACUCCACUAGUUGUUCGAAUACACCGACCGUAGUCAAACGUGUUGGUAAAGAAAGUAACGGAGUACGAUAUAACACGAUCCGGCGGUAAAGGUUACCCGUCGUUAUGACCAAUCAAACUAUCCACCACAAUGUUACUGACCACAAGAACCUUGUUACUGCAUGAAACACCACUUUAGUUUCGCGUACUCCUUCUAAUCUUUUUUUCUCUUCUACAGUUCUUCUUCGCCGAGUUCGAGGACCCAACUAUUAUGACUUUAGAGUCUCUGACUCGAAUUAGUUCACAUACGGAACAUUUCUCUGUCCCACAAACUUGAGUCGGAACGGAGACGUUAACUCUUACAUGUACGAAUUAGUUCACAUACGGAACAUUCUGUGUCCCACAAACUUGAGUCGGAGUAUAGACCUUAGCUCUUACAUGUACUUUUAAGGUCUACGCGCGUAAUUGUUUAUCUAAUGAGUGUAAUAAGGAACUAACGUGUUAAGGAAAGACAUUACUGUUUGCUACGUAUGGAUUUUCCCUCCGGGUAACACAUUCCGAGUACGUCAACUUCUUAGGUGACACGUGUUAGACAACAUGUUCAGCCAACGUGAAAAAGAAAGACAAGGUAAAAGGUCGGUAGUAUUGACACGUGUUAGACAACAUGUUCACUCCACGUGAAAAAAAGGCAAGGUAAAAAGGUCGGUAGUAUUAAGUGCUCUGUAAGACAAAACCAAUAAACCAUACAUACGUAGAUGAACAUUGGACAGUAGUUGACGUAUGUAUGUAAAGUACUGAAUUCAUUCGAGGACCGGGGAGUAAGAAUUAAGACUUGACAAGGAGUCAAUUGUAAGAAUAUGAAAGUACACCGUUACGCUGACGUCCGAGACUAUCAAAAACAAGGAAAUGUGUUACUUCGUAGUACAAAACUCCUACGACUAAAACAUACUUGAAUACUCCUACGAAAUAACAAAAAUAUAAAAUAAUAUCUUGUUUAAUAAUUCAUUGAUAAUUUGGAAAGAGUUACACUGACGUCCGAGGCAACCAAAAUCAAGGAAAUGUCUUAACCCGUAGUACAACACUCCUACGACUAAGAAAACCUGAAUUUGUGUAUAUUAAACAAACAUAUGAUGUUUAACAAAUCAUGAGGGAGGCAGGCUUUUAUGAACAGUAGUUUUAACUAUUUUUUCUUACAUAGAUCUUGAUUUUAUACAGAUCUAUGUAGAGGAAAAUAGGUAAAACUACUGUUCAUAAAGGCCUGUCUCCCUCAUUGUUAAAUUUGGAAGGAGUCAACUCACCAUUAAACAACUAGAACAGGACUUUGGAACUAGAAUUCUUAAUAAUAAAGUGAAACCUAGAUUUCACUCAAUGACAUUGAACAGUAAGAACUAAGCACCAAGAAAAAGUCAGAAAGUAACUUGUACCUAUCAAAGUUCGUCUUCAUAGAUCAAAUAAGGGAGAAACAAGAUAAGAAGACAACUUGUACAUUAUAUAGAUCGUUUUGAACGAUCAUCAGAUUGUCAAUUCACAUGAGUGGAACAGUUAUUCUGUUAGACGUCACUACAAAUAAACAAAUGAGUUAGGUCUUACCAUAACAAAUACACUCCUUUGUUGAUAUAGAAGACAUUAACAAUCCUUGUCAACCUGUGCGACACGAUGGGACCGACGGGGGACGUAAUGUAACCGUACUGGUGAUGUUUAGUAAAUUUUCUUAGGUUUAUGUACCUGGGGUUAUAUAGUAAUAACACCUCAAACUGCGAACCGUACAGCAACCUAUCUUCUGGUCCAAGUAGUAGAAAAGAAGGAAAAACAAACAACAUGAAUAAAAAAUCUCCUUCCAAGUAGUGUUAUUGGAUGGUAAUGAAAUGAGUGACUAAUCUUUUGACCAUCGUGUACGAUCACGCCGUUAGGUUCUUAUGAAAUUUAGGAACGUACCGUCAUUUCGCAUUUAUAAGAAGUAUACGGUACGCAUGAUACAUGUGGACUAUUUGUUACGUUUGUAAACCGAUUGAUACCUGGGACAAUGUACGGACAAUCAAGAUUGUGACGAGUUGUAGUAGUCACACCACCCAUGCAUACGAAUGGAAACCGAAAUUAGAACAGAACGGAAAAGAACUGUACGGAAGAAUCAAAUUUAAAAUAAACAGAAGUGUACUGGUAAAGAAUCAGUAGUAGUUACAAGUAAAAACUUCGAUUCGCUGUGUUACCCGGGAACCCACACAAAGAAAAUAUAACUAAACCCUAUCUAAGACAGUAAGGCUACUGGUCACAAGAAAAAGGUUGUUAAUAAUUUACGCAUACCAUUCUAUAAUAUAGACUAUACAAUAACAUCAAAAUGGUGUUAACAGAAGAAUUUACUUCUUUUGGUUAGGUCAUAUUUGAAGGGGGGUCCAGAAGUCAUUUCGAAAAAUCCUGUUUUUUCCCGACAAUUCUUCAACAACGGAGGAUAGUAAGUGUGAAACGUAAAGAAGAGGAAAAGGUAAAUAAAAUAAAAACAGAUUACUAAAUAUCGAAAUUUCCACACAUUAGCAUCCAUUAAGAAUGAAACGAAAAGAAGAGAAAAAGGUAAGUAAAAUAACGUGAUGACGAAAAACAAACAGUGAUGUUCUUUCCAUAAAGUGGAAAGGAGAAAACGGAAGGUACAAAAUUCACGGGCGGUGGUCACUGAACAUGUCAUAAAGGAUUUGUUCCAGGGACUGUAUCAUAUACCUUUUACAAGGAACCAACUGCAUCUCGGUACUCUUACGUAAGUCUGGGGAUUUACGUGUUCCUAGUCGUAAAUCUUCUCAUUUAGGGUUUUAGUAUAAUUGACUAUUAUAGUUCCACGUUGAACGGUCUUUUCUAAAGUAAAAUUGUGUGUUAAAACCUCAGAAAACCCAAUGAAAUAAAUACGGUAACGGUGAGCGUAAUCACACCACGGUACAUGAUCAUAAGUUCAACGUCAGUCCAAAGUACUAUUUUCCAAGUAACAGAACGGAAGAGACUAUUAUAGAAAUUAUUGAACAUUAAAAAAACGAAUCAAGGAAUGGAUACAAUGUAGUAUCUGUGUGUCAACUGUGUGUUCGAAAACUCACAUACAAAAACACAACACAAGUUGUUUGUCUUUCGUCCAUCCGAAAUUAGUCCUUGAUUAAACACGUAAACCUCUAUCUAUCUCUUGGUUCGUACCCUGUUUUCACAGUCGAAAUGGGUUUUUAUUAACCGACAGAAAGACAAUUGAUACCGAGUAACGUACACUGUAUUCUACGAACAAGGACAACGUAGAGAAAAAUCCAUACCUGAACGAUGUACACGUGGACAUUAUACCUAUGACUAGUCUCUUUCCAAACGGAUCUAAAUCAAAAAACCACCCUAAGAUAGACGUGAAACCAUGAAGGUGUUGGUACAGUUCACGAUUUUAUGAUCAUGAGCCUUGUAUCACUUUGACAAGUAAGUAUCUGUCUUCAAUGAAUGUAUCGGUUCAAAAAUUCCCCUAUCGUACAGAAGUCCUUUGUAUACUAGUUUUAUGUUUACACAUGUUUUAGUAGUCCCACAACUUUAAAAUAUGGUAGAUAUGAUGGCAACUGACGUUUAGAGUUUUUACAGAAGAAGUAGAAGUCUAAGACGUCGAUAGAAGCUGUGACUACUACUGUACUUGGCCUUUGGACGUAGCGAACGUGAGAAGGAGUGACUCCGGUCAACGACGCUGAAGAACGUCAUACGAUAACGUGGGACCUAACCUAAUAGGUAGAGACUCGACCGUGACGACGAGGAGGACUCGUGACCGGGGUUUGGUCUCAGUAAACUCGAGCCCUGCAUCCUACUACUUAAACUGCUUCUCGUACUACUACUACUCCGUCUACUGCAGAACAAACUACUGCUUAUAGCCUAUUACUGUGAUCUCUUACUGGAGGAUACCGGCAUGAGUAGAAGAAAUUCGACGGGAGGGUCACACCGUGACAGCGACUACCCGCUCCAACACAUGGACAACGAAGACUAGACCGGUUUACCCAAGAAGGAGGUUGAGAACUGGACCCGCCACCUCUUGAGUAAACGAGAACCACGUGGUGGGAACAGUAGACCUAGGGGACGAAAUCGCCGUUUAUAACAGAACUCGUCGUUAUGACCGCCUACGCGUGAGCGACUUCAUGACGAGACGUAACUCGAGUGGUGAACGUAUUGUACUUAAACGACCACUUUGCACCGUGCUGACCAUACCACAUCGCCCCCGUCACGAGCGCCUCUCCUCCGGGAACAGUCGGCGCUAGAGCUCCUCGGAAAGUUGGUAAACCUACGCACCACCUUCCACCUCGCCGUCGUCGAACGGGAACAUCUUCUCGAGUAGACGACCACUACGGUACCCGAGGGUCACCAGUUGCCCUCGACUGUACACCUUGAGUUUGAGGGAGCUGACGACCCCCCUCCGACGGUACCGACACCACAUCGUUUCGUUCGAACGACAUAACCACUGGUGGAAACGUCGACGCCCUAAUCGUCCAUCGGUAAUUCACGAUCCGGUUGUUCCACCGUGAAAAUGGUUAUUCACUGAGCGUUUGACGAAGUGCGGACGACUACACGUCCCCGGGGUUUGGAGAACCAAUCGUACGCUUGACCCUACCAAAAUAACACCUCAAAGCAUAAGAAAGCUCGUUCCUUCACAUCCUUACACAAGUCUAAGUUUCCGGUGUUAAGAUAGAACUCUAGAAACUGUAAUCACCACUAUUGAACGGAGACUUCUUUAGGACUCCGUUUUCUUGGACCUGUCUGGAACUUAAAGCAGUUUGUUUCUCCGUCACCACGGACCAUUUUUCAUUUGUAAAGACACGUGUUUAGUAUCAAGAAAUAUACGUCUAGAAAUCGUAGUCACCACUAUCUAACGGAGACUUCUUUGGGACUCCGUUUUCUUGGAAGGAGUUUAAAGCAGUUUGUUUCUCCAUAAUAACCGGAACAUUUUUCAUUUGUGAAGACACGUGUUUAAUAUCAGUUCAACGGUAAACGAUGUACAAUCUUCAUAAA
rnacentral:rRNA from 1 species